GCGAAUAUAACUCAGUCGGUUAGAGUGCUAGGUUGUGAUUCUAGAAGUCACGGGUUCAAGUCCCGUUAUUCGCC
rnacentral:tRNA from 1 species